UACCUUGCUUUGCAUUUUAAGUCUCUCCUGCCUAAUGAAAUGUCAUCUUUUCAGAGCUGGUGACCAAAUAAUUGUUUAAAAAUGUGCAUUCUGCUGGCCUUCCCGGAUUCCAGAAGCUGCCCCAAGGACAUAGUCUUGAGGUAAUGAUGUGGUGUAUGGAUCCAGUUGCUACAAAGAAGAUCGAAGGCACUCGGAUAUUUGGAGGUGGCCCCUCUCAGAUGAGAAGAGGAUCCCAGGUGGCAGAGGUAUGUCCACACGACUAAGUUCUCACCGACAGAAGGCUGGUGGAAGUGAUGUGACCUACUUCCAGAUCUGACCAUGAAACCUUGUCCGUGAACUCCUGCAUGGACCACAACCCACUCCUCCCCACCCCAAAUGGCUGGAAUGGCAAUCCUGAGUACUCCUGGGAGUCAUGAGUUGAGGGUAAUAGAAUCACCAUCUGCCUGGAUUUCUGGAUCCUGAAAGAAUGCUUAGAACAGACAGCCCACCAACUGGCCUGCUCUAGAUUAUUAACAU